rnacentral:rRNA from 1 species
ACUCCUACGGGAGGCAGCAGUGGGGAAUAUUGGACAAUGGGCGCAAGCCUGAUCCAGCCAUGCCGCGUGAGUGAUGAAGGCCCUAGGGUUGUAAAGCUCUUUCACCGGAGAAGAUAAUGACGGUAUCCGGAGAAGAAGCCCCGGCUAACUUCGUGCCAGCAGCCGCGGUAAUACGAAGGGGGCUAGCGUUGUUCGGAAUUACUGGGCGUAAAGCGCACGUAGGCGGAUCGAUCAGUCAGGGGUGAAAUCCCAGGGCUCAACCCUGGAACUGCCUUUGAUACUGUCGAUCUGGAGUAUGGAAGAGGUGAGUGGAAUUCCGAGUGUAGAGGUGAAAUUCGUAGAUAUUCGGAGGAACACCAGUGGCGAAGGCGGCUCACUGGUCCAUUACUGACGCUGAGGUGCGAAAGCGUGGGGAGCAAACAGGAUUAGAUACCCCGGUAGUCCCA